GUUUGGACAAUGGGCGCAAGCCUGAUCCAGCAAUGCCGCGUGAGUGAAGAAGGCCUUCGGGUUGUAAAGCUCUUUUGUCAGGGAAGAAACGGUGAGCUCUAAUACAGUUUGCUAAUGACGGUACCUGAAGAAUAAGCACCGGCUAACUACGUGCCAGCAGCCGCGGUAAUACGUAGGGUGCAAGCGUUAAUCGCAAUUACUGGGCGUAAAGCGUGCGCAGGCGGUUAUGUAAGUCAGAUGUGAAAUCCCCGGGCUCAACCUGGGAAUGGCAUUUGAGACUGCAUGGCUAGAGUGUGUCAGAGGGGGGUAGAAUUCCACGUGUAGCAGUGAAAAGGGUAGAGAUGGGAGGAAUACCGAUGGGGAAGGCAGCCCCCUGGGAUAACACUACGCUCAUCACAAAG
rnacentral:rRNA from 1 species